UACGUAGGGGGCUAGCGUUGUCCGGAAUCAUUGGGCGUAAAGAGCGCGUAGGCGGCCAGAUAAGUCCGGUGUGAAAGUCACAGGCUCAACCUGUGAAUGCCGCUGGAAACUGUCUGGCUAGAGUCCGGGAGGGGCGAGUGGAAUUCCUGGUGUAGCGGUGAAAUGCGCAGAUAUCAGGAGGAACACCAAUGGCGAAGGCGGCUCACUGGCCCGGUACUGACGCUGAGGUGCGAAAGCGUGGGGGAGCAAACAGG
rnacentral:rRNA from 1 species